ACUCAGCUGACAAGUCCCACACAGGGACGAAACCCGCGUCCUAAGU
rnacentral:hammerhead_ribozyme from 1 species